rnacentral:rRNA from 1 species
GACGAACGCUGGCGGCGUGCUUAACACAUGCAAGUCGAGCGGUAAGGCCCUUUCGGGGGUACACGAGCGGCGAACGGGUGAGUAACACGUGGGUGACCUGCCUUUAGCUCUGGGAUAAGCCUGGGAAACUGGGUCUAAUACCGGAUACGACUCCGCGGUGCAUGUUGUGGGGUGGAAAGCCUUGUGCGGCUGGAGAUGGGCCCGCGGCCUAUCAGCUUGGUUGGUGGGGUGAUGGCCUACCAAGGCGACGACGGGUAGCCGGCCUGAGAGGGCGACCGGCCACACUGGGACUGAGACACGGCCCAGACUCCUACGGGAGGCAGCAGUGGGGAAUCUUGCGCAAUGGGCGAAAGCCUGACGCAGCGACGCCGCGUGAGGGAUGACGGCCUC